AGUGAACGCUGGCGGUAGGCCUAACACAUGCAAGUCGAACGGCAGCAUAGUAAGAGUUUGCUCUUACGGGUGGCGAGUGGCGGACGGGUGAGGAAUACAUCGGAAUCUACUUUCUCGUGGGGGUAAACGUAGGGAAACUUACGCUAAUACCGCUUAUGACCUACGCGUGAAAGACGAGGAUUUUAGGACGUUUUGCGCUUGCACGAGCCGAUGUCGGAUUAGCUAGUUGGCGGGAUAAAGGCCCACCAAGGCGACGAUCCGUAGCUGAUCUGAGAGGAUGAUCAGCCACACUGGAACUGAGACACGGUCCAGACUCCUACGGGAGGCAGCAGUGGGGAAUAUUGGACAAUGGGCGCAAGCCUGAUCCAGCCAUGCCGCGUGGGUGAAGAAGGCCUUCGGGUUGUAAAGCCCUUUUGUUGGGAAAGAAAAGCAACAGGUUAAUACCCCGCUGUUCUGACGGUACCCAAAGAAUAAGCACCGGCUAACUUCGUG
rnacentral:rRNA from 1 species